UUAUAAAAGAUUAAAAAUAGAACUUAUAAGUUCUGCGCUUUGCGGCGCACAGAACAACCGUAUAUUAAAUAUCCCGGCCGGGCGUCGGAGAAGGGUAAAGUAAGCAAGCAAAGGAUUAUCUAUCUGUGCGACCAAUGAAAAAGGUCUUCAAUUUCAGCCUGGAGCCAUGGGAGGUACCACGCCAAAAGGAAGAUUAUGAUCAUAGUUGGUUAGAUAAAGAGAUCGAACAAGAGGAAGAUGAAAGGAUGAAGAAGAUCCUACUGGGAGUCAAGGAAACCAUGGGAAGCCUGGAUAACGAAACCAUAAAAAAUCGCAUCUUUGAGGAAAGAAAGUGUCUUGUAGAGUGGGAGCAGUACGCCAACGACCUCAAUACUACUAAGGGUUUUGAGGUUGGCGAUUAUCCUUAUCUGUCUCGCAAGCUUUUUGGUAGCUUCAUUACCAGAUAUUACUGCCCACCAGAUACCACAAUUACUGAUUACGAGUUAGACAAAUUGACUGGUUUAGCACGUUCUGCCAUUGAUCAAUAUAAUUCCACACACCAAACAGUGUUUGCCAAUGUCACUGUCGUCAAGGCAAUGAGAUCUUUUUCUUGUGGCCACUGGUACUAUUUGACUUUCCAAGCCAAUGUGCCUCAUUCUCCUCCCCGGAUUUUUCAAGCCAAGGUGUAUGAGGAACCCCAUUGGGUAUCCCCGCCUUUAUUUAUCGAGUUUGUGAGGCCAGCCCACGCUGAUGAUUAAUUACAACAAGAUGCUGAUAAAACAUGCCAUGUGAUGGUGUACACAGUACACACAGCUUAUGUCUUUGUUUCUCUGAUUGGAUGGUUUGAGUUUCUGAUAUGGUUUCAACGCAUAAGAUUGGUUGUUUUUUUAAGAUAUGCCUUGAUUUCCUUCACAUAUGAAUUCUACAUAAUAAUUCAAAUCAUGGUUUAGCCAGGUGAAAAGUUUUUUGCUUUAGAAGUUGCUAAAAUACAUUUACGUGCGGCUGUAUAUUGAAUACAAACCAUGCUUUGUAUGUUGCACUGUUACUAUCUAUAUUGACUAUAGUUCUACAGAUGCUUCGGUUAGUUCAAUUAUUUAUUUAUUUAUUUUUUAAAAUCAGAGCAGUCCUUUUAUCCUAUUUCCUAGCUGUGAAACAGUCCUACAGUUGAUUUUCUAAAUAAUUUGUUUCCCAAAAGCAUGAUGAACCCCUCAACUCCCUGGUUUUUCGCCGUGUUUGGAACAAUUUUACAAGAUGUUACGAGAUUUUAAUAGCCAAAAUUUUGUGUUGCGAGAUUCCCAUAUUCUCAACUGCAGAUCAUGUUAAUGCCAUAUUAUUGAACAUGUUUGUGAAAUGUGGAAAGGACCCGAGUAUCCCAAAAAGCACGUAAAGUUUGCAACUAUAUGCUGUAUUGCUGUUGAGUGUCGAGGGUUAACUGCAUGUUGUUGACUCUUAAAGUAAUCACUAUAAAAAUCCAUAAUCCAAACUAGGUUCUUGUUUGCUUUAUUGUAAUAUAAAAGAGUACUCUGAUGGUUGAUAAUUGUCAUGUUAUACCUUUGAAUUGCAUUCCUCUGUAAGAAUUGUAGAAGAAAUAUACAGGGCAUACAAGUUUGCAUGUUUUCUGAUUAAAUUUUUUUAGUUAGAUGGUUAAGUUUCUAUUUAUUUCCCCAACCAAACGGAGCAUCAAAUCGCAAGUGCAGGAAAUUUAGAUAUCCUUUUGGAUGGUCAGGAGGAAAAUUGCAACCCCCUCCCCCCUCCUUUUUUGUCUUGAUGGUUUUAUGACUGGGCUGCUGUGCAACAUUAAAGGAUUUACACAUGCAAACUAGCACAUAUCAGUAUAGCCUUAUGCUGGAUUCAUAUAUCAGAUGACGUAGCAUGUUAUGCAAUUUGGAUUUAAAAAGACCAAGAUUAUUUUAAAUUUCGAGGACAUUGGUACAGUUUAUGCUUUCUUCUUAGUUUUCUGCGAGUUGGAAUAUCAAAUUUUUUAUUUAGAUACCAAUUUGUGAGGCCAGCCCCCCGCUGAUUAUUGAUUACAACAAGUAAUUGUCAAGAUAAUCACCCAGGAUAGCUGUAAAUCUGUUGUAAUAUGUAAUAGUUGUAUUACUGGUAAAUCUGUCAUAUACAGCAGCUGUAUUAGGCUUAAUUAGAGGCUGAUAUUAGGUGGAUAUUCUGUGAUAUGAUAUGCUGAUAUUAGGGGAUACUGUAGGCUGAUUUAGAGGCAGAUAUGAAGGGAUAUGCUAGCUGAUUUGUAGGUCUGAUUAGCUCUAGCUCUGCUGUACCUAUAAAUACAGGAGCUUGUCUGUAUGACAAACUAUUAGAAUCAAAAGCAUUUUCUGUCAUGCUAUCAGAGCUGGUUUUUUAAACAGAAUUCUCAGCUUGUAUUUCUUGUCUAGAUUCAAAAUCAUAGUGUUUUCUUUUUCAUCUUUCUUGGAAUUCAUCUCCUGGUUCUUGCUUCAUCGUAAAUCAUGUCAUUAGAGCGAUAUGAUAACUUCCUUGUUUGAUUUAAUGGGAAGAACUAUUCUGCUUGGUCUUUCCAAUUUGAAAUUCUUGUCAAGGGAAAAGAAUUAUGGGGCUAUGUUGAUGGAACAAUUGUUGCACCUGACACCAAAGAAAAGGAGCAACUUGCGAAAUGGAAGGUGAAGGAUGCUCAAAUUAUGUCUUGGAUACUGGGGAGUAUGGAACCCUCCAUGAUUCUCAAUCUCAGGCCUUACAAGACUUCUAAAGAUAUGUGGGGUUACUUGAAGAAAGUUUACAACCAAAGCAACGCAGCCCAACGUCUUCAAUUAGAGCUUGAGUUGGGGCAACUUACUCAAGGGAGCAUGACAAAUUAAGAGUUCUAUUCUUCUUUUGAGAAUUUAUGGGGUGAAUAUACAGAUAUUGUGUAUGAGAGUGUGCCUUCUGAAGGACUGACUGCUGUCCAAAGUGUACAUAAGACAAGCAAGCGUGACCAAUUUUUAAUGAAAUUACGGGGAGAUUUUGAACCAAUCAGGUCCAACCUCAUGAACAGAAAUCCAGUUCCAUCACUUGAUACUUGCAUAGGAGAGCUUUUUCGGGAAGAACAACGGCUCGUGACACAAACUUCCAUCGAUCAGAAGGCGCAGGACUCUUCUCCAAUUCCUGUUGCAUACGCUGCCCAAGUAAAGCAUAGAGGUGGAAGAGAUGUGAGUAACUUCCAAUGCUACAUUUGCAAAGGAUUUGGACAUGUUGCUAUUAAUUGCACUAAAAAUUCUGCAAUUAUUGCAAGAUAGCAGGGCACAUCAUCAAAGAUUGCCCAAUCCGGCCUCCGAAGAAAUCUCAAACUGCCUACAAUGUCUCAGUCGGAUCCUCAAAUUCUUCUAAUUUUGGUCAGUCUUCUGUUACCACUUACCCCUGGAAUGAUUCAGCAGAUGAUAGUUAAUGCAUUUUCAACUUUAGGAAUUUCAGGAUCAAGUGUCCGGGAAGAUGAUCGCGAAGAGGCCUAAAGUGGGACGUCUCUUUCCUUUGCUCCCAUCACCGUCUCUAGUGCCAAAUUAUGUUUCUUAUAAUGCCGUUGAAUGUAAUAAUCAAGUGUGGCAUAAAAGAUGAUGGAAUGGAUUGUGGAUGUUUGGAACUUUGCAGAAAUUGGAAAAUGCUAACAUGCUGGCUGGAUUCUGCUACUUUGUUUCUUUUUAAUUUAUGAAAUUAGAAUGUUGUAGUAGACUAAAACACCAACAAAUAAGCCAAAUGAUUUUCGGCUGCUUUCAUUUCCAUUUUGAUUCAGACUUCCUUCGACUUAACUUGUGCCAACUGCCAAGUGUGCUCUGUUAUGUUUAGCUAUUAUUUCCGUGUUUCGGGUUUUUUAUGUUAAAGUAAAUAACUGGAA